rnacentral:RNase_P_RNA from 1 species
CGAGCAGGCCAGACGGUCGCGGCGGCGAAAGCCGUCGAGGAAAGUCCGGACAGCACAGGGCAGCGAAGCGGGUAACACCCGUCCGCCGUGAGGCGAGGACCAGCGCCACAGUGACGAACCCGCGCAAGCGGGGUGAAACGGGCAAGCUCUUCGCGCUGCAAGCGCAAGUAAGGGGACCAUGGCGUGGCCCGCGCCGUCCCCGGGUAGCGUGCUAGAGGCGGAGGGCAACCUCCGCCCCAGAGAGAUGACCGUCCCCGACGGAAUCCGGCUUAUGACCUGCCUCGGUGU